UAUAAAGUUUUAUUUUAGCUUAAAAAAUUUAUUAUUAAUUUAUAUUAUAUGUAAAUUUUUGUGUUAAUUUAUUAUUAUUUAAAAAAUAAUAAUAAAUUUAAAUAUUUGCAAUAAUUAAUAUUAUUAUUUAAAGAAAUUUAGAAAUAGAAAUAUUAAUUUAAUAUUGACUUAAUUUGUGCCAGCAGUUGCGGUUAUACAAAUAAUAUGAAUAAAUUUUAUUAAUAAUAGUUAAAUGUAAAAUUUAAAAAUAAAAAUAAAUUUAUUAAGUGAAAUUUUAAAUUUAUAAUAUUUUAAAAUUAAAAUAUAUUGAAACUAAAAAUUUUUAAAUAUAAACUAGGAUUAGAUACCCUAUUAUUUAAAUUUUAAUUUAAUUUAUUUGAGUAGUAUUAGUUAUAUUCUUGAAACUUAAAAAAUUUGGCGGUAUUUUAGUCUAUUCAGAGGAACUUGUUUUUUAAUCGAUAAUCCACGAUGUACCUUACUUAAAAUUGUUAUUCAAUUUAUAUAUCGUUGUUAUUAGAAUGUUUUAUAAGAAUAAUAAUUUUCUAUAAUUUUUAUUAAAAUUAAUAUCAAAUCAAGGUGUAGUUUAUUUUUAAGUAUAAAUGAGUUACAAUAAAAUAUAUUUAUGGGUUUAAAUAUGAAAAAUUUUAAAUAAAUUGGAUUUGAUAGUAAAAUUAUAAAGAUAAAUAAUUUGAUUUUAGCUCUAAAAUAUGUACAUAUUGCCCGUCGCUCUUGUUAUUAAAAUAAGAUAAGUCGUAACAUAGUAGAUGUACUGGAAAGUGUAUCUAGAAU
rnacentral:ncRNA from 1 species